rnacentral:rRNA from 1 species
UACGUAGGGUGCAAGCGUUAAUCGGAAUUACUGGGCGUAAAGCGUGCGCAGGCGGCUUUGCAAGACAGAUGUGAAAUCCCCGGGCUUAACCUGGGAACUGCAUUGUGACUGCAUGGCUGGAGUGCGGCAGAGGGGAUGGAAUUCAUGGUGUAGCAGUGAAAUGCGUAGAGAUCAUGAGGAAGACCAGUGGCGAAGGCGGGUCUCUGGACAGUUCCUGACGCUGAGGCACGAAGGCCAGGGAGCAAACGGG